AUGAUCUGUCAAGCCGGGAUGUCACCCGACCUGGCUAUUGGGCUUUCUCCACUCUCUGAUCCGACAGACCAGGGAGCUGCCAACAGGGAGCAGACUUGUUUGUUCCCUAAAGCUCUUCAGUGCACUGUAAUAUUUGGAUUUUUUGCCUUGCAGCAUGGACAUGAAGGAGGACCUGGAAAUACUGAUGGCCUUGGAAUGAGCCGAGCUAAUAGCCAACUACAAUCAGUGAGAAGGAGCUGCCUGGCCUUGGCACCCAGGAGGCAAAGGGAUGGAGAAGCCCAUUUCUACUGGAGGACCAAGUAUGAAGAGGAGGGCUGCCGGCCUGCCCAGACCCUGGGCUACACUUUGGAGGAUGGUGGCUGGAGCCCCAACCUGCUGUCCUCAUCUGCAGCAAAGGCCCCAAAGGGGACUGCCGACCCUGAGCAGACAGAACUGCCUUCCCCACCCCCACAUCCGGCUGCCCAGCUGCCACGACCCCAGGACUCCUCCCGAUGCCCGCACCCAGCCACCCCAACAUCCUCCCGACUAUACUUCUGCCUCUGCUCUUGGCCCCCAUUCCUCUCAACUCUGCCGUGAGAGCCCUUUGCAAACUUUAACUCAGGAUCAUUGUGAAGGAUGCUGGAGUGUUUUCAGGUGAAGAAAAAAGCAUGAGAGGGGCCGGCCUGGUGGCGCAGCGGUUAAGUGUGCAGUUGUGCUUUGACGGCCCGGGGUUUGCUGGUUCGGAUCCCGGGUGCCAACAUGGAACUGCUUGGCACGCCAUGCUGUGGUAGGCAUCCCAUAUAUAAAGUAGAGGAAGAUGGGCACGGAUAUUAGCUCAGGGCCAGUCUUCCUCAGCGAAAAGAGGAUUGGUAGCAGUUAGCUCAGGGCUAAUCUUCCUCAAAAAAAAAAAAAAAGCAUGAGAGAAAUGUGGAUGACAGGGUGGUGUGUGGGGGAUGAGUGAAGCUGGAGACAGAGGGUUAAGGGGGACAACCCACCCUCGUGGGCAGGGGUGGAUGUCCACUGCGAGUGUCGUGGGGAAACAGCACCACUGCUAUCUGACCCCAGAUCAUCGUCUCACAAAGUGUGUUCAUAUCUCUUCUCUUGACUUAAUGAGUCUGGUAACAAAAGCCACUAAUGUGUUAAUGUUGAGCUUGUAGAAACUAUGAUAUCUUAUUUCCGUCUAAUUUGACAGAAGCAACCACCCUGCCCAGGGAAAGAGGGACCUUUAACACUCAGGCCAGGACAGAGCCCUCCCAGCAAGAUGCUCAUGUGGGGCUGGCCAGUGCACAGUUCAGUUCCCAGCUGGACAUGACCCUCUGAGCUUCCAGAGCCACAGAAAAUGCAACACAUGUCCCAGGAGUGUCAGCUUCUUGUAUUAAUGCCACUCUGACCUGCUGAGGAGAAGGCAAAAUCCUCUGGCUUAGCUCCAGCUCCAGGCCUGUGCUGGCCAAGGCCCACUCUGGGCCUGCUUCCCUGAGCUCCUGGGGUCCGCCACUCCUGGCCACUUCAGUGUUAUAGUCGCCUCGGCCUGUUGCCACUGUAAAUGAACCCACUGUCCCUCUGAGUGAGGACGAGGGGGUACCCAGUGGUUUCUGCAGUCCCCCAGUACUCAGGGGACUGUGUAGGUGACCACAC
rnacentral:lncRNA from 1 species